AGGGCUGGGGCAAAGUGCUCCAGAAGGCUGUGUAUGCUCUGAAUCAGUGGCCGAUAUAUGGUACUGUUUCUCCCAUAGCCAAGAUUCAGGAGUCCAGGAAUCAAGGGGUGGAAAUGGAAGUGGCACGACUCACCAACACCCCUAGAGAUCCACUGGCAAAAUUUUUGCUUCCUGUUCCCAUGACAUUAUAUUUUGCUGGCCUAAAGGUCUUAGUUCCAGAGGGAGAAACACUGCCGCCAGGAGACACAACAACGAUUCCAUUCAAUUAGAAGUUAAGAUUGCCACUUGGACACUUUGGGCUUCUCCUACCUUGAAGUCAACAGGCUAAGAAGAGAGUUACUUGGCUGGGGCGAUUGACCCAGAUUAUCAAGAUGAAAUCAGUCUACUACUCCACAACUGAGGAAGCCAAGCCACACUGCUAACUGAUGAGAGACCAGCUUGAAAGAGGGAGGACCUGCCAAUUGCCAUCAGCACAACUCCAGAUAUAUGGGAGUCAGGCUUUAGGGCAAAAACCGGGGAUCACAGAAUGCUUGCUCAAUCAACUUUGCUCAUCCAAAAUCACAAAAAUCGCCUCAAAAAAUGUUGAUGAUAAUUUAAUUUUCUUCACUCUCCAUGAAGAUGUUAGAUAAUGCUCACUCUGGGUGAGAAUAAAAGCCAGACUCAUCAA
rnacentral:lncRNA from 1 species